CGCGCCGUUAAAUAGCAAUAGGCGGAAGUUUGGCUCUCUCUCAGUCUUAGCGCCAUCUUCUUAGAAACCUCUGCGCCAUGAGAGCCAAGUGGAGGAAGAAGCGAAUGCGCAGGCUGAAGCGCAAAAGAAGAAAGAUGAGGCAGAGAUCCAAGUAAACGGCUAGUUUGUGCACCCACGGAGGCCACAGGAGCAGAAAUGUGGAAAGCUGGAGGCCGGGAACGCUGGUACAAGUUGUUGGACUGCAUGCUACUGUCUAGAACUUCUCUCACAGUGGAUCUAGGAUGUCCAUCGCCAUCCGAGCAUCGAGACCACCUCUGAGAGAUCCACCUUGCUCAUUUUAAAACAGUCCCUCUUGGUCCGUUGCCCUGGACCUGUGACGUUCUGGACUAGUUCUGUUCUCAUUUGUGGCCGAGUGUAACGUGUACAAUAAAUCAUCUCUUCUGCUGUGUUAGCUGAAGAAUCAAAAAAU